AUAGUGCGGAGGUGUCUGCCGUGUCAGACAUUCUCCGCACUGAGGAGUGCCAGAAACAUUGGCAUAUUAUAAAAUCUGAGGCAAGACGGAACACUCGCAAGCAGAGAGAAGCCAUGACUGCCACAGGUGGUGGACCUCCUGCCAACCCUCCUCUCUCCCAGCUCGAUGAGUUAAUCUUUGAGAUUUUGGACCCCAAGAAUGUCUCUAUUCAUGGGUGUACCAAUAAGGCAAGCAUCAUUGAAUGCACCUUCCUUAACAAAGGAUAAGCCACUUGUAGAUAUAGCAAUAUUAGGCCAUAAUGUUGUCUCAAAUGUCUGCAAUCCAAAAUACUCAUGUUCCCAGUUAGUUUACAACUUUGUUAUACACAAUGGUAAAUUUGUUAUCUAGUGUUGAGAAAAUUUCAUUUAUUUAUUUAUUUUUUAUUCUUUAACCAAACAGAUAAAACAGUAAUAAGAAAAGAAAAAAAAACUAAUAAAGUUAACUUAAUUCCUAUCCCUUCUCCCCAUUCAUAAGUAUGGUGUUGUAGUGGGUGAAUGUGUUAAUGAUAACAAGUCUUAGGGAUUUACAGUUUCUUAGACAUGGGCUUCCUUCAAACAGAAUAGGAUUUAAGUCAAACACAUUGUACCCUUAGCUAGAUUUACUGGUUUCUGUUACUUUUGUCCUUAGCAAUAAAACCAAAAACA